AUUGAACGCUGGCGGCAGGCUUAACACAUGCAAGUCGAGCGGAGAGAGGUAGCUUGCUACUGAUCUUAGCGGCGGACGGGUGAGUAAUGCUUAGGAAUCUGCCUAUUAGUGGGGGACAACAUUUCGAAAGGAAUGCUAAUACCGCAUACGUCCUACGGGAGAAAGCAGGGGAUCUUCGGACCUUGCGCUAAUAGAUGAGCCUAAGUCGGAUUAGCUAGUUGGUGGGGUAAAGGCCUACCAAGGCGACGAUCUGUAGCGGGUCUGAGAGGAUGAUCCGCCACACUGGGACUGAGGCACGGCCCAGACUCCUACGGGAGGCGGCAGUGGGGAAUAUUGGACAAUGGGCGCAAGCCUGAUCCAGCCAUGCCGCGUGUGUGAAGAAGGCCUUAUGGUUGUAAAGCACUUUAAGCGAGGAGGAGGCUACUUUAGAUAAUACCUAGAGAUAGUGGACGUUACUCGCAGAAUAAGCACCGGCUAACUCUGUGCCAGCAGCCGCCGUAAGAC
rnacentral:rRNA from 1 species